AUUUGCAGUUACAAGGAAAUAAAACCCAGAAAUUGUGUAAACAACAGAAGAGAGGGAUGUACUGCAGGGUAUCUAUCCACUUUUUGACAGAGGCUCCUGGUCUCAGAAAUGAAGACCUCUGCAGAAAAGAAUAGGAAGCCUCUAAAUGAACUCAGCUUCAGUCUUUCUUAGUAAGAGGCUGGAGAGGCAUCCUGGCCUCACAUAGUCCAGUGAAAACCAACUGGACUGCUGUCCAUCUGUGUAUCAGUUCUAAGGUUUUCUCAUUACCUCUGAAUCUCUGAGUAGCAUUCAUGCUCUCUUGCAUUACUGAUGCCUUAGGACUGUAUUGUGCCAAGAAUUAGGUCCCAUGAGAGGACUGAAUGAGCUCUUCAAUUAGUAGAAUUAUCCAUGGACAAUGUGCAGUCUGUGUACCUUGAGCCAUCAACAAAUAGUGAUCAGAAGUUUGUCGACCUGGGGUUCUGAGGUCCUCAUUGCAAUAGACAUUGCAGUCACCUGCACAGGAUGCCAGUGACUUUCCAGUUUUCCCAAACACAGUGUUGCACAGUCUCUGCAUCCUGAUUUUAAAUAUCCCCGUGUAUUCCAAUGCCAGGUACAUUUUUAUUUUCAGUGCCUGCAGUCACUACACCCCUCUGUCAUGCCUCUACUAAAUUAUAUGUCCUCCCAGCCCAGGGUCUCGUGUCUUAUUGGCAAAAGAAGUGGAACAUUCCUUUUCUUCUCAGUAUUGCUUUAUUUCUGAGACUCUCUAGGUACAUUCUUGAUAUCUCUGACUCUACUAUUCUUCUAUAGUAGAGUCAGAGAUACUUGUUGUAAAUAACUGUCUCACAUAUAUACGCAAUCAGAUAAGUCAAAAAUCUGCAGAGUAGACUGGGAAGGAUGGAUGUUUCCACUCUAAUAAAAGGCAGUCUGGAGACAAAACUGCCACUUUUUGUGAAGAACCUCUAUUUGCAUGAGCCUACCACCCUAUAGAGAGUAAUCUGCUUUACUCAAAGACUACUGUUUGAACUGUCAAUUUCAUUUAAAAAACAAAAACAAACAAAAAUCUUUCAAAGCAACAUUUAGAGCAUUUGAUCCAAUAUUGGCACAUCUCAUGGCCCAGCCAGGAUGACAAAUAAAAUAAAAAUAGUCAAUAUAGAUUCACUCAUUAUCAAGUUGAAAAUUUAGGGUCAACACUCCAGCACAUAGGCACAGGCAACUACUUUUUCAAUAGGACCCCCAAAGCUCGGGAUAUAUGGCAAAUGUUAGUAAAUGGGAUGGCAUCAAAUUAAAAGUUUCUGAGCCUCAAAAAAAAAAAA
rnacentral:lncRNA from 1 species